rnacentral:rRNA from 1 species
AGUGAACGCUGGCGGUAGGCCUAACACAUGCAAGUCGAACGGCAGCACAGUAAGAGCUUGCUCUUACGGGUGGCGAGUGGCGGACGGGUGAGGAAUACAUCGGAAUCUACUUUUUCGCGGGGGAUAACGUAGGGAAACUUACGCUAAUACCGCAUACGGCCUACGGGUGAAAGCAGGGGAUCUUCGGACCUUGCGCGAUUGAAUGAGCCGAUGUCGGAUUAGCUAGUUGGCGGGGUAAAGGCCCACCAAGGCGACGAUCCGUAGCUGGUCUGAGAGGAUGAUCAGCCACACUGGAACUGAGACACGGUCCAGACUCCUACGGGAGGCAGCAGUGGGGAAUAUUGGACAAUGGGCGCAAGCCUGAUCCAGCCAUACCGCGUGGGUGAAGAAGGCCUUCGGGUUGUAAAGCCCUUUUGUUGGGAAAGAAAAGCAGCAGGUUAAUACCCCGCUGUUCUGACGGUACCCAAAGAAUAAGCACCGGCUAACUUCGUG